GAUGAACGCUGGCGGCGUGCCUAAUACAUGCCAGUCGAGCGAACAGACGAGGAGCUUGCUCCUCUGACGUUAGCGGCGGACGGGUGAGUAACACGUGGAUAACCUACCUAUAAGACUGGGAUAACUUCGGGAAACCGGAGCUAAUACCGGAUAAUAUAUUGAACCGCAUGGUUCAAUAGUGAAAGACGGUUUUGCUGUCACUUAUAGAUGGAUCCGCGCCGCAUUAGCUAGUUGGUAAGGUAACGGCUUACCAAGGCGACGAUGCGUAGCCGACCUGAGAGGGUGACCGGCCACAGUGGAAGGGAGACACGGACAGGACCCCGAGGGGAGGAAGAAGGAGGGAAUCUCCCGCAAGGGCGGAAGGCCUGACGGAGCAGCGCCGAGUGAGGAAGAAAGGUCUAGGGAUCUAAAAACUCUUUUAUUGGGAAAAAAAAAAUGUGAAAGAAACUAUGCACGUCUGGAGGGUACCUAACAAAAAAGCCCCGGCAACCUACGUC
rnacentral:rRNA from 1 species